rnacentral:miRNA from 1 species
UUUUAAUACUGAGGUGCGAAUG